CUUUCAGAGAUUAUUUUUAACAAGUUUCAUGAUUUUUUAGGUAGCAACAUGGUGGUCUGAUUAUCUAAAGUAUUUAAAGAAGAAAAACGAUGGAGGAAUCUAAGGAAAAUUUCAUUGAAAAAUCAGCUGAACGGUUAACCAAAAAUGUACAGAAUAUGGCUAAUUAUCGAAGUCUUUAUAACGAAAUUCAAAGACUCGUUGCUUCGACUGUUGUAAAAAAAGACGAUUUUAAAAAUACUCUACUCGAUGCUCUCAAAGUAAAUGGAUUAGAGACUGAGCUUAGAAAUACUGUGUUUCAUUGGGUACGAUCGCAGGAUUCAUUGAGAUCGAAACCAAUACUCGCUGAAAAUACUGAUUUGACUUACUUAAAAAAAGUUCAAAUUCAAUGGGAGCGUCGUAUUCAAAAAUCUUUAAAUUCUAUGUGCAUUGAAUUAAACGUUCCAUUAGCUCGUAUAAGACCCAACGCAGAUAGAGAAGAACUUGCUGAAAAAUGGAACGAACUUAGUACUUACGAUAUUGAUCUGUCUCGAUACAGGCCAUUGUAUGCUCCAAAAGAUUUCUUAGAAGUAUUGUUUUCUAUACGUGAUCCAGCGUUUAAAAAACAUCCCGAGGAAUUAAAUUGGGAUUUUAGUCACAUACAAAUUCGUGUAAGAACACUUGCAGAGCUGAGAUGCUUGUACGUUGAAUUAGCUCAAGGUAUGCCUUUGCUUGGUGUUAAUCCUGAUAUGCCAGCCACAGGAAAUUUCGUUAAUUUAGAAGCCGAAAGAACUCAUAUAGGUGAAAGAGUAUUAAGUACAAAUUAUGUGCCAAUUGCGCAGGAAUUUUUAAAAAAAGGAGCACCACGUGCUUUAAGAGGACGUCUUUGGUCUCUUGUUUUAGGAUCAGCCAUUAAAGAUAAUGACAUCGAAUAUUACGAGGAAUUGAAAAGUAUGGUCUUGCAAUAUGACAUUAUUGUUGAUAAAUUAAUUAUAAAGGAUGUACAAUUAACAGCGAGUAACGACGAUCAAUAUUUUGUUUUUGAAGAUGUUCUUUAUAAAACGAUGCUGUGCUUUUCAAGGGACUCGGAAGUAUUAACUCCGGUUACUACCGACAGAAGUGCAGGUGGUCAAGUGAUACAUGCGGUUUUACAAGGGAAACCUGCAACCUUAGAAAAUACUUUAGUAUUCCCUCCAAGUGGUGUAAUACCAUUCCAUGGAUUUACUAUGUAUGCUACUCCAUUCUGUUAUUUGUACGAUGAUCCAUGCAUCAUGUAUUAUACAUUUCGAGCAUUUUAUUUACGUUAUUGGUUUCGUCUUCACACAGUCUCGAGUCACGAGCAAGGUAUAGUUGCAUUAUGUUUAUUAUUUGAAAGACUAUUACAAUGCUAUGAACCUCUGUUAUGGGCCCAUUUUAAGAACAUCCAUUUACAACCAAUUAAAGUAGUAUUCAAAUGGUUGAUGAGAGGCUUUAGCGGUUACUUACCACCCGAGCAAUUAUUAUUUUUAUGGGAUUUAGUAUUGGCAUAUGAUUCUUUAGAAAUAAUAGCUCUUCUUGCCGUGACUAUUUUAAGUUUUAGAAAAGAAAAUUUGAUGCAGGUCAAUACUCAGCACAACGUUGAAGCUGUCUUAGCAGAUUUAUCAUCGUUAAAAGUGAUACCUUUAUUACAGUUAGUCUUAUUGAAAGAAUAAUUAGAUUGUUUUGAUUGAAAUCGAAAAGAACUAUCGUCAAACUUGCCAGUCAAAUUUAAAUGACUUUCGAAACGCCUGUAGAUCUGCAACCCGUUCUACAUAAUACAUAUGUAAGUUUAUUGAGAGGGGUGGACAUGCCUGUUUCCGGCCAAUGGAACACGAUCGAAACUACAAGCUACGCUCACACACGUAAUCGUAUAAGCAGUCAUUAUGACGUCAUCCCUUGGAAUCGUACAAUAAAACAGUUUAAAGCAAUUAACAAUUAUUCUCGUUUGUGGUA
rnacentral:misc_RNA from 1 species